UAGUGGGGAACCGCAAGGCCUCAUGCUAUAAGGAGCGGCGAGUCGACUAGCUAGCUGUGGGGUAAGCCACCACGCGACGAUCAGUAGCUGUCUGAGACGACGAUCAGCCACACUGGGACUGAGACACGGCCCAGACUCUACGGGAGGCAGCAGUGAGGAAUUUUGGACAAUGAGCGAAAGCCUGAUCCAGCAAUGCCGCGUGUGUGAAGAAGGCCUUCGGGUUGUAAAGCACUUUUGUCCGGAAAGAAAUGGCUCUGGUUAAUACCUGGGGUCGAUGACGGUACCGGAAGAAUAAGGACCGGCUAACUACGUGCCAGCAGCCGCGGUAAUACGUAGGGUCAAGCGUUAAUCGGAAUUACUGGGCGUAAAGCGUGCGCAGGCGGUUGUGCAAGACCGAUGUGAAAUCCCCGAGCUUAACUUGGGAAUUGCAUUGGUGACUGCACGGCUAGAGUGUGUCAGAGGGGGGUAGAAUUCCACGUGUAGCAGUGAAAUGCGUAGAGAUGUGGAGGAAUACCGAUGGCGAAGGCAGCCCCCUGGGAUAACACUGACGCUCAUGCACGAAAGCGUGGGGAGCAAACAGGAUUAGAUACCCUGGUAGUCCACGCCCUAAACGAUGUCAACUAGUUGUUGGGGAUUCAUUUCCUUAGUAACGUAGCUAACGCGUGAAGUUGACCGCCUGGGGAGUACGGUCGCAAGAUUAAAACUCAAAGGAAUUGACGGGGACCCGCACAAGCGGUGGAUGAUGUGGAUUAAUUCGAUGCAACGCGAAAAACCUUACCUACCCUUGACAUGCCACUAACGAAGCAGAGAUGCAUUAGGUGCUCGAAAGAGAAAGUGGACACAGGUGCUGCAUGGCUGUCGUCAGCUCGUGUCGUGAGAUGUUGGGUUAAGUCCCGCAACGAGCGCAACCCUUGUCUCUAGUUGCUACGAAAGGGCACUCUAGAGAGACUGCCGGUGACAAACCGGAGGAAGGUGGGGAUGACGUCAAGUCCUCAUGGCCCUUAUGGGUAGGGCUUCACACGUCAUACAAUGGUGCAUACAGAGGGUUGCCAAGCCGCGAGGUGGAGCUAAUCCCAGAAAAUGCAUCGUAGUCCGGAUCGUGAGUCUGCAACUCGACUACGUGAAGCUGGAAUCGCUAGUAAUCGCGGAUCAGCAUGCCGCGAUUUGCUC
rnacentral:rRNA from 1 species